rnacentral:rRNA from 1 species
CUACGGGGGGCUGCAGUAAGGAAUAUUGCGCAAUGGAGGCAACUCUGACGCAGCCAUGCCGCGUGCAGGAAGAUGGCCUUAUGGGUCGUAAACUGCUUUUAUUUAGGAAUAAACCCCCGAACGUGUUCGGGGCUGAAGGUACUAAACGAAUAAGCACCGGCUAACUCCGUGCCAGCAGCCGCGGUAAUACGGAGGGUGCAAGCGUUAUCCGGAGUUAUUGGGUUUAAAGGGUGCGCAGGCGGGCUAUUAAGUCAGUGGUGAAAUCCCGGGGCUCAACUCCGGAACUGCCAUUGAUACUGAUAGUCUUGAGUUUGUUUGAAGUGGGCGGAAUGUAGCAUGUAGCGGUGAAAUGCAUAGAUAUGCUACAGAACACCAAUCGCGAAGGCAGCUCACUAAGCCAAAACUGACGCUCAUGCACGAAAGCGUGGGGAUCAAACAGGAUUAGAUACCCUAGUAGUC